ACCUCCAUAGCUCAGUAGAUAGAGCACUGGUCCUGCAAAUCAAGGGUCGAGAAUUCGAUCCUCCCUGGGGGCA
rnacentral:tRNA from 1 species